GUGGGGAAUAUUGGACAAUGGGCGCAAGCCUGAUCCAGCCAUGCCGCGUGAGUGAUGAAGGCCUUAGGGUUGUAAAGCUCUUUCACCGAUGAAGAUAAUGACGGUAGUCGGAGAAGAAGCCCCGGCUAACUUCGUGCCAGCAGCCGCGGUAAUACGAAGGGGGCUAGCGUUGUUCGGAUUUACUGGGCGUAAAGCGCACGUAGGCGGUUUGUUAAGUCAGGGGUGAAAUCCCGGAGCUCAACUCCGGAACUGCCUUUGAUACUGGCAAGCUAGAGUCCGGAAGAGGUAAGUGGAACUCCUAGUGUAGAGGUGGAAUUCGUAGAUAUUAGGAAGAACACCAGUGGCGAAGGCGGCUUACUGGUCCGGAACUGACGCUGAGGUGCGAAAGCGUGGGGAGCAAACAGGAUUAGAAACCCUAGUAGUCC
rnacentral:rRNA from 1 species